GAACCGCUCGUCAAACGGUAACGCAGGUGUCCCAAGGCGAGCUCAGCGUGGACGGAAACCACACGUUGAGCAAAAGGGCAAAAGCUCGCUCGAUCUCGAUUUUCAGUACAAAACAAGCUGGUUGGCAAGG
rnacentral:ncRNA from 1 species